GUAGGUGGCAAGCGUUGUCCGGAAUUAUUGGGCGUAAAGCGCGCGCAGGCGGGUCCUUUAAGUCUGAUGUGAAAGCCCACGGGCUCAACCGUGGAGGGUCAUUGGAAACUGGGGGACUUGAGUACAGAAGAGGAAAGCGGAAUUCCAAGUGUAGCGGUGAAAUGCGUAGAGAUUUGGAGGAACACCAGUGGCGAAGGCGGCUUUCUGGUCUGUAACUGACGCUGAGGCGCGAAAGCGUGGGGAGCAAACAGGAUUAGAUACCCUGGUAGUCCACGCCGUAAACGAUGAGUGCUAAGUGUUAGGGGGUUUCCGCCCCUUAGUGCUGCAGCUAACGCAUUAAGCACUCCGCCCGGGGAGUACGGCCGCAAAGGCUGA
rnacentral:rRNA from 1 species